AACGAACGCUGGCGGCAGGCCUAACACAUGUAAGUCGAGCGCUCACCUUCGGGUGGGAGCGGCGGACGGGUUAGUAACGCGUGGGAACAUACCCUUUUCUAUGGAAUAGCCUCGGGAAACUGAGAGUAAUACCAUAUACGCCCUUCGGGGGAAAGAUUUAUCGGAGAAGGAUUGGCCCGCGUUUGAUUAGAUAGUUGGUGGGGUAAUGGCCUACCAAGUCUACGAUCAAUAGCUGGUUUGAGAGGAUGAUCAGCAACACUGGGACUGAGACACGGCCCAGACUCCUACGGGAGGCAGCAGUGGGGAAUCUUAGACAAUGGGCGCAAGCCUGAUCUAGCCAUGCCGCGUGAGUGACGAAGGCCUUAGGGUCGUAAAGCUCUUUCGCCAGAGAUGAUAAUGACAGUAUCUGGUAAAGAAACCCCGGCUAACUCCGUGCCAGCAGCCGCGGUAAUACGGAGGGGGUUAGCGUUGUUCGGAAUUACUGGGCGUAAAGCGUACGUAGGCGGAUUGGAAAGUAGGGGGUGAAAUCCCAGGGCUCAACCCUGGAACUGCCUCCUAAACUAUCAGUCUAGAGUCCGAGAGAGGUGAGUGGAAUUCCAAGUGUAGAGGUGAAAUUCGUAGAUAUUUGGAGGAACACCAGUGGCGAAGGCGGCUCACUGGCUCGAUACUGACGCUGAGGUACGAAAGUGUGGGGAGCAAACAGGAUUAGAUACCCUGGUAGUCCACACCGUAAACGAUGAAUGCCAGACGUCAGGGGGCUUGCCCUUUGGUGUCACACCUAACGGAUUAAGCAUUCCGCCUGGGGAGUACGGUCGCAAGAUUA
rnacentral:rRNA from 1 species